UCCAUUUCGGAUUGUUUCAUGAGAAAAGCGUAGUUGAGAGCUUUGUUCUGUGGAGGCUUGAAUUAUGUGAGACAGUGAAUUACCUCAUCUUUUAAGAUCAAUAAACCACUUGGAGCUUUUGAACUAGGUUCCUCUUUCAAGCCAUGAAUAUAAUGAAAUGACACAGCAAAUUGCCUAAGGAAGAAGAUAACACUGAGAAAAGGAAAGUCUACCAACUGAAUGUCAAUACCAUUAGCAUUUUGAGGGACAACAGGAGGCACCACAGCAACUUUGUAGAUGCAUCCAAGAAUGAGAUCAACAGGUUUCGAGUGACAUCACUGAGGCAUCCCAGGCCGUGGUAAAUGUGACAUUGAAGAAAAGUGAGAAAAAAACCUGCAGUCGUCUCUUCCCACACCAGCUUGCCACCUACAGAAAAGCAAGAGAAAACAGGAUGCUUGGGAGCAAUUUUUUCUGAUAAGUCACAUAGCGGUAGAAUUUAAGGAAUAAAAAAUUAACCAUCUAUAUCCA
rnacentral:lncRNA from 1 species